GGCAAGAAAGCCCAGGUAAUCAAGACGAAGACUGAAUUGGCUUCAGACCAUUAAGAUUUUGCAUACAACAGCCUGAAGAGGCAAGAACUGGAGUCUGAGAACAAGAAGCUGAAAAAUGAGCUGAACGAGCUGAGGAAAGCUAUUGCAGAGUGGGUGACCCAGAACAACUACUCCAACGAUAUCCAGGACAGCUACAGGCUCUUGCUGAACCAGCUGAAGUCGGCCAACGAAGAGCUGGAAGUGUGGAAAGAAGAGGUCCUUAUCCUGAGGACACAGAUUUUGAAGGCGGCCCAGCAAAAAGAGACAGGCAAAAAUAUGGAAACAAGCAUCAACACCCAUGCCAGCUGGCCCAACAGUGACAAGCACGUGGCUCAAGAGGAUGCAAUCGAGGCUUACCAAGGGAUAUGCGAGAUGA